UAAAAGCCAGUCUCUCUUCGUGGCAGGCAACUAGCUGGUUAUUCCUCUGAUUGCGUCACAAAGGGAAAUCUGUAUAUUCACCCCAGAUUUCUAAAAGAAGCAAGAAACUUCAAGUUCACAAAUCAUCUCUCAAGGCAGGUGCCCUGUAUGACAACAAGGUUAUGGCCCUCCCUGUCUUCAGAACAGUGCUGAAAAAAAUGCAUUGUCCAUACUAAUGACAACCCACUGUGUACCUCCUCCCAUGCUCUCCAGCGGUGCAGCUUGUGGUGGUCAGUUGCCUGUUUUUCCUCGCUGUGAACGCUUUUAAUUAAAAGGAAGGGAUUCAGAACCUGCGGAUGUGGAGGGCCAGAGGGCUGAAUUUGCAAGUUGGGCAAUGGGGAAAGCCUUCACAAAGGAGAAAGCCUUUGGGCUGGAAUUGGAGGAGUAGGAGUCAAUAGAGAGAGAAGAGAGUAAAGGGCAAGGCCAUCAUUCCAGGUUUAGGGAGCAAGUACAAAGACACAGAGAAAUGAAAAGGCUUGGCCUGUUUGGAGAAUGUCAAGCUGUCUGGGGUUGAGAGAAAGACAUUCUAACAAGGCUUCCAUUAAAGAGGCUAGAUUUGCUGCUUGGACAUUUUCUAGCUCUUCUGAGACAACUUUUUGUUGAGUUAAGCGAAAAUGAAUGAAAAUCAGAUGGACCAUAUUUCUCUUGAAUGCACACGGGCUUAAAAACGAAGGGGAAAAAGAACUUGACAGAAUGUGUCUUGGCUUUUGCCAAACCCAAAGUAUUUGAAAAAUCACACAGUACACAUCUCGAACCCAAAAACAUGCCUGGAUUCUACCACCCCUAACUGCAGCUGCAGCCAUUUAAUAAAAUGAAUUGUGUACAAGAAAAUGGGGUCCGAAUGGAGUGAGCUUCAUUAGAGAGAAUGACUGAUGUAGGGCGGUUGGCUGGUGCCCUUGAGAAAGUACAUAUCUCAUUGCCCUUGCAGAGAAAGAGAGAGG
rnacentral:lncRNA from 10 species